UGAGCGAAUAUCAUUAUUGAU
rnacentral:piRNA from 1 species